ensembl:lncRNA
GGCAGGGCCUGUGCCGGAGGGUGGCCCAGCACAGUCGGGGCCUCGGGGCCCAGUCUGGAGGGGGCCUGGCACAGUUGAGGCCUCCUCUGGGUCCAGACCAAAGGGGGCCCAGGCUGGAGGAGGACCAGGCUCAGUUGGGGCUGCUUUGGGGCCCAGGCUGGAGGAGGACCAGGCUCAGUUGGGGCUGCUUUGGGGCCCAGUCCGGAGGGGGGCCUGGCACACUUGGGGCUGCUUUGGGGCCCAGGCUGGAGGAGGACCAGGCUCAGUUGGGGCUGCUUUGGGGCCCAGUCUGGAGGGGGCCUGGCACAGUUG